rnacentral:rRNA from 1 species
UGGGGAAUAUUGGUCAAUGGGGGAAACCCUGAACCAGCAACGCCGCGUGAAGGAAGAAGGCUUUCGGGUUGUAAACUUCUUUUAUCUGUGACGAUAGUGACGGUAGCAGAUGAAUAAGCUACGGCUAACUACGUGCCAGCAGCCGCGGUAAUACGUAGGUAGCGAGCGUUAUCCGGAUUUACUGGGUGUAAAGGGCGCGUAGGCGGGAGACCAAGUCAGAUGUGAAAACUAUGGGCUUAACCCAUAGCCUGCAUUUGAAACUGGUUUUCUUGAGUACUGGAGAGGCAGUCGGAAUUCCGUGUGUAGCGGUGAAAUGCGUAGAUAUACGGAAGAACACCAGUGGCGAAGGCGGACUGCUGGACAGCAACUGACGCUGAGGCGCGAGAGCGUGGGGAGCAAACAGG